AACGAACGCUGGCGGCGCGCCUAACACAUGCAAGUCGAACGAGAAGGCGUAGCAAUACGCUUGUAAAGUGGCGAACGGGUGAGGAAUACGUGGGUAACCUACCCUCGAGUGGGGAAUAACCAACCGAAAGGUUGGCUAAUGCCGCGUACGCUUCCAUCUCUUCGGAGGUGGAAGGAAAGCUGUACCGUGGGUACAGCGCUCAAGGAUGGGCUCACGUCCUAUCAGCUUGUUGGUAGGUAACGGCCCACCAAGGCAACGACGGGUAGCUGGUCUGAGAGGACGAUCAGCCACACUGGCACUGCGACACGGGCCAGACUCCUACGGGAGGCAGCAGUGAGGAAUAUUGCGCAAUGGGCGAAAGCCUGACGCAGCGACGCCGCGU
rnacentral:rRNA from 1 species